GUGAAUCAUCAAAUCUUUGAACGCAAAUUGCACUCUCUGGUAUUCCGGAGAGUAUGCCUGUUUGAGGCUCAGUUUAAAUACAACUCGGCGUGGUUGCUGCCUUUCGUGGUGACGCAUCGGAUUUGGUUCGUCUUUCCUUCGUUUACGUGUCCUAAAUUUUUUCAUGUUUUUUUUCGAACGU
rnacentral:misc_RNA from 1 species